rnacentral:tRNA from 1 species
AUGGGUGUGAUGGAAUUGGUAGACAUGUUAGAUUUAGGUUCUAAUGAUUAAAGAUCGUGGGGGUUCAAGUCCCUCUACCCAUA